rnacentral:rRNA from 1 species
UGAGGAAUAUUGGUCAAUGGGCGGGAGCCUGAACCAGCCAAGCCGCGUGAGGGAGGAAGGCCCUAUGGGUCGUAAACCUCUUUUGUCAGGGAACAAAAGCGAGUAUGUAUACUAGUCUGAGUGUACCUGAAGAAAAACGCAUCGGCUAACUCCGUGCCAGCAGCCGCGGUAAUACGGAGGAUGCGAGCGUUAUCCGGAUUUAUUGGGUUUAAAGGGUGCGUAGGCGGCGGUGCAAGUCAGCGGUAAAAUGCCCGGGGCUCAACCCCGGCGAGCCGUUGAAACUGCAGUGCUAGAGAAGGCGAGAGGUACGCGGAAUGUGCAGUGUAGCGGUGAAAUGCUUAGAUAUUGCGCAGAACUCCGAUUGCGAAGGCAGCGUACUGGCGCCUGACUGACGCUGAGGCACGAAAGCGUGGGGAUCGAACAGGAUUAGAUACCC